AUACGUAGGGUGCGAGCGUUGUCCGGAAUUACUGGGCGUAAAGAGCUCGUAGGUGGUUUGUCGCGUCGUCUGUGAAAUUCCGGGGCUUAACUCCGGGCGUGCAGGCGAUACGGGCAUAACUUGAGUACUGUAGGGGAGACUGGAAUUCCUGGUGUAGCGGUGAAAUGCGCAGAUAUCAGGAGGAACACCGGUGGCGAAGGGGGGUCUCUGGGCAGUAACGGACGCUGAGGAGCGAAAGCAUGGGUAGCGAACAGGAUUAGAUACCCUGGUAGUCCAUGCCGUAAACGGUGGGCGCUAGGUGUAGGGGUCUUCCACGACUUCUGUGCCGUAGCUAACGCAUUAAGCGCCCCGCCUGGGGAGUACGGCCGCAAGGCUAAAACUCAAAGGAAUUGACGGGG
rnacentral:rRNA from 1 species